rnacentral:rRNA from 1 species
GACGAACGCUGGCGGCGUGCUUAACACAUGCAAGUCGAACGAUGAAGCUAGAGCUUGCUCUGGUGGAUUAGUGGCGAACGGGUGAGUAACACGUGAGUAACCUGCCCCGAACUCUGGGAUAACUGCUGGAAACGGUAGCUAAUACUGGAUACGACCAACGAAGGCAUCUUCUGUUGGUGGAAAGAAUUUCGGUUCGGGAUGGACUCGCGGCCUAUCAGCUUGUUGGGGAGAUAACGGCUCACCAAGGCGACGACGGGUAGCCGGCCUGAGAGGGUGAUCGGGCACACUGGGACUGAGACACGGCCCAGACUCCUACGGGAGGCAGCAGUGGGUAAUAUUGCACAAUGGGCGCAAGCCUGAUGCAGCAACGCCGCGUGAGGGACGACGGCCUUCGGGUUGUAAACCCCUUUUGCACGGGACGAAGUAAUUGACGGUACCGUGCGAAUAAGAGGUUGCUAACUCUGUGCCAGCAGCCGCAGUAA